AAAAUUAAACCCCCUGGGGGAAGUACGGUUCGCCAAGAUUUAAAAACUCAAAAGGGUAUUGACGGGGGACCCGCCACCAAGCGGUGGAUGAAUUUGGAUUUAUAUUCGAUGUCAACCGGCGAAAGACCUUAACCUGCUCCUUGACCAUGUUCAAGGAAGGAUCUAAGGGGAUUAGGAUUGUGCCUUUCCGGGAACCUUGAACCACAGGUGCUGCAUGGGCUGUUCGUCAGCCUCGUGUCGUGAGAUGUUUUUCCUUAAAGUGACGCAAACGAAGCGCAACCCCUUGCUAACUAGUUGCCCCCAAUUAAGUUUUGGCACUUCUAGUGGGGACUGCCGGUGAUAAGCCGGAGGAAGGUGGGGAUGACGUCAAGUCCUCAUGGCCCUUAUGAGCAGGGCUUCACACGUCAUACAAUGGGUAGGGUACAGACGGUCGCUAAGCCGCGAGGUGGAGCUAAUCCGAGAAAGCCUAUCGUAGUCUGGAUUGUAGUCUGCAACUUGACUACAUGAAGUCGGAAUCGCUAGUAAUCGCAGAUCAGAAUGCUGCGGUGAAUACGUUCCCGGGUCUUGUACACACCGCCCGUCACACCAUGGGAGUGGAGGAUACCAGAAGUAGUUAGGCUAACCGUAAGGAU
rnacentral:rRNA from 1 species